GAUGAACGCUGGCGGCGUGCUUAAUACAUGCAAGUCGAACGAGGGCACCUUGUAGCAAUACGAGGUGUCCCUAGUGGCGAAUGGGUGCGUAACACGUAGGUGACCUGCCCCGAAGUGUGGAUAACAGUUCGAAAGGACUGCUAAUACCGCAUGUGGUCCCGGAGGUUAGAGGCUCCGGGUCUAAAGCUGCUCGCAAGAGUGGCGCUUCGGGAGGGCCUGCGGCCCANCAGGUAGUUGGUAGGGUAACGGCCUACCAAGCCAUCGACGGGUAGGGGAUCUGAGAGGAUGGUCCCCCACACUGGCACUAACAC
rnacentral:rRNA from 1 species